UACGAAGGGGGCUAGCGUUGCUCGGAAUCACUGGGCGUAAAGGGCGCGUAGGCGGCCGAUCAAGUCAGGGGUGAAAGCCUGUGGCUCAACCACAGAAUUGCCUUUGAUACUGUUUGGCUCGAGACCGGAAGAGGUUGGUGGAACUGCGAGUGUAGAGGUGAAAUUCGUAGAUAUUCGCAAGAACACCAGGUGGCGAAGGCGGCUGCCUGGGCCAGUUCUGACGCUGAGGCGCGAAAGCGUGGGGAGCAAACAGG
rnacentral:rRNA from 1 species